CACCACACGGCUGCCUCGGGCAUGGGUUUCAGUCACCCCACCACACGGCUACCUCUGGCAUGGGUUUCAGUCACAUGGGUUUCAGUCACACCACCACACGGCUGCCUCUGGCAUGGGUUUCAGUCACAUGGGUUUCAGUCACACCACUACCUCUGUUUAAAUGCACUCUGAAGUAGACCCCAGAAAACUGAAUCCAAAACCCACCUCCAUUCAACUUAAGUUUCAAGGCAUCAAAACAUCUCGCUUUUUAUUUCCCAGAGAGGUCUGAAGUUCGUAAGAAGACAAUGGAUACAUUCAAACGAUGAGCCGAUCAACUUCUAUGUCCCACUGCCUUAAUACUGUACACAACAGUUAGAUUUACAGUUUGAAAAACGGUCAAAAGUGAACCGUGUUUUUCUUGGCCCUGACAAAUCAUUUCUAUAAAUAAAAGAGCAAAACGUAAACACAUUAGUUAACUUUUUGUUGUUGUCGCUAUGCCUUAACGUUCCUUUCAGAAAAAUACAUUUUCAUUUAUUCAUUGUAGGUCCCCACAUAAAUAGGAAUGAUUAAAAAAAACAAGUGCAAAACAAGACAAUCAAUAUUAUUUUGUUAAGCAGCCAUAAUUGUAAAAAGGUUUUGAGAUCCACGACCCGGUAAACCUGCGUUUAGUUAGCAAGUUACAAACCAGCAGCCAUUUGUGUCUCUUUACCAAACCUUUUCUUAAUCAUAAGAAAUGACUGUGUGAUGACAACUGUUCUUCCAAUUAAAAGAAAUGUAAAAAAACAGCACCAUCUAUGGGAUUUAUAUCUGUCUGGUAAAUCAACUACUGCAUUGUCCUUCUUGAUCGAUUCCUAACCAAAUAAACUCUUCCCUUCGGUGUGUUUCACCACCCCCAGAAAAACGAAACGACUCUCAGCCCUUAACGAAAAGACAAAUCGUAGGGGCCCCACUUACAACACAUAAAAUAAAAGCAGAUUUCCUUCCUUCAAUACUGUGACUGAAUUGGGCAGGUUUCCUUCCUUCAAUACUGUGACUGAAUUGGGCAGGUUUCCUUCCUUCAAUACUGUGACUGAAUUGGGCAGGUUUCCUUCCUUCAAUACUGUGACUGAAUUGGGCAGGUUUCCUUCCUUCAAUACUGUGACUGAAUUGGGCAGGUUUCCAGUUCCAUCAUAUAGUCUUCAGUGAACACCUUGUGGAAUGAAGGACAGAGGGAAGGAUGUGUAUGAAUUCAUGAAAUAAAACAAUGUCCUGUCUGUACUUCCUAGUCCAACUCCACUGAAGACAGAACAAAGAACAGCAGCCUUCUGACUCUUUAUACUGUAGUCUAUGGGACUCUAUAUACUGUAGCCUAUGGGACAGGGUAGCUGAGUGAUGGGACUCUAUAUACUGUAGUCUAUGGGACAGGGAGGCUGAGUGAUGUGACUCUAUAUACUGUAGUCUAUGGGACAGGGAGGCUGAGUGAUGUGACUCUAUAUACUGUAGUCUAUGGGACAGGGAGGCUGAGUGAUGACUCU
ensembl:lncRNA